rnacentral:rRNA from 1 species
UACGUAGGGUGCAAGCGUUGUCCGGAAUUAUUGGGCGUAAAGGGCUCGUAGGCGGCCAACUAAGUCGGACGUGAAAUCCCUCGGCUUAACCGGGGAACUGCGUCCGAUACUGGAUGGCUUGAGUUUGGGAGAGGGAUGCGGAAUUCCAGGUGUAGCGGUGAAAUGCUUAGAUAUGACAUAGAACACCCAUUGCGAAGGCAGCUAACUACGCGAUCAUUGACGCUGAUGCACGAAAGCGUGGGGAUCAAACAGG